rnacentral:rRNA from 1 species
UACGUAGGGGGCAAGCGUUGUCCGGAAUUAUUGGGCGUAAAGAGCGCGUAGGCGGUCCGAUAAGUCGGCUGUGAAAGUCAAAGGCUCAACCUUUGAAAGCCGAUGGAUACUGUAGAGCUAGAGUCCGGAAGAGGCGAGUGGAAUUCCUGGUGUAGCGGUGGAAUGCGCAGAUAUCAGGAGGAACACCAAUAGCGAAGGCAGCUCGCUGGGACGUGACUGACACUAAGGCGCGAAAGCGUGGGGAGCGAACAGG